GGGUACAAUACAAGAUAUUCAUGAUUUUAGCAUUGAGAUGAGCCAUUUUAUUGUCAAACUCAUCCCAUUCACCUUCCGACUUAGGGAGGGACACACCAUCAAUCAACUUAGUGGGUAUGUGAGAUCCAUUCACUAUGAUACUUCACAUAUUAUAGUCAAGUACUUGGAUAAAUAUUCUCAUCCGAGCUUUUCAAUAGGUGUAGUUGGAUCCAUUGAAAAGUGAAGGUUGGUUGGUAAAUUGCCCCUCGGCU
rnacentral:lncRNA from 1 species